rnacentral:lncRNA from 1 species
UCACAUGUUAAAUAAGGGGAGUUAUGGUUCCCACAAGAAUGCAAGACACAUUCUCUUCUUCCUCCCAUUGAAACUAGAGAGCAUUUUUGGUCUUGCAUAUCAAGUGGAAAACCAAUCCUCAUUUUUGUCUUGGAUAUCAAGCAAAAGGGAAAACUUCAAGACAAUCUUCAUGAAGGAUUAAGGAUCUUCCACUUAUGGAUUCAGGUACGCUUCUGCUUAUGUUGUUAUUCCAAAUAAUUUG